GAUGAACGCUGGCGGCGUGCCUAAUACAUGCAAGUCGAGCGAACAGACGAGGAGCUUGCUCCUCUGACGUUAGCGGCGGACGGGUGAGUAACACGUGGAUAACCUACCUCUAAGACUGGGAUAACUUCGGGAAACCGGAGCUCCUACCGGAUAAUAUAUUUAACCGCAUGGUUCAAUAGUGAAAGACGGUUUUGCUGUCACCUCUAGAUGGAUCCGCGCCGCAUUAGCUAGUUGGUAAGGUAACGGCUUACCAAGGCAACGAUGCGUAGCCGACCCGGGGGGGGGAUCGGCCACACGGGAGCUGGGGCACGGGCCAGACGCCUACGGGGGGCAGGAGUAGGAAGGCUGGCGCAAGGGGCGAAAGCUUGACGGAGCAACGCGGCGGGAGGGAGGAGGGGCUUGGGAUGGAAAAACGCUGUUAUGAGGGAAGAACAAAUGUGUAAGUAACUAUGCUCGUCUGAAGGGAACCGAAGCAGAAGGCCAGGGUAAAUUAGGG
rnacentral:rRNA from 1 species